GAUGAACGCUGACAGAAUGCUUAACACAUGCAAGUCGAUGGGGAAGUGGUGCUUGCCCCAUGGCCACCAUGGCGGACGGGUGAGUAACGCGUAAGGGACUUACCUGCAGGACUGGGAUAACAGGGGGAAACUCCUGACAAGACCGGAUAAUGUCAUGGAGCUGCAUGGCUUUAUGAUGAAAGGAGACGCCUGCGGAGAGCCUUGCGUCCUAUUAGUUAGUUGGUGAGGUAAUGGCUCACCAAGGCGAAGAUAGGUAGCCGGCCUGAGAGGGUGGACGGCCACAAGGGGACUGAGAUACGGCGCUUACUCCUACGGGAGGCAGCAGUGGGGAAUAUUGGACAAUGGGGGCAACCCUGAUGCAGCAAUUCUGUGUGCACGAAGAAGGUUUUCGGAUUGUAAAGUGCUUUCAGAAGGGAAGAAGUAAGUGACGGUACCUGCAGAAGAAGCGACGGCUAAAUACGUG
rnacentral:rRNA from 1 species